UCUGUUGCAGAAAAUUCAAGAAAGCACAUAAGAAAAAUAAAAAAAUAAUCAAAAAGAGAAAACCAGGACUGCUAAAUUUAAACUUGAAAGCUCAAAAGAAAAACAUCAAACGAUUUCUUAAUAGAAUCAUGCAAUGCAACCAAAUAGCUUGAAUUUAAAACAUGAAUAUCGAAAUAUUUGCCCAUUGGUCUUUGGCACACUGCUGCAAAGCCUAGAGCAGCCAAGCGUACCAACAAAAUUUAGCAUAUCUUACCAUCAAGCAGGUCCCAGCACGAACAUUACAGAUGGGAUAGUCAUGUGGGCAGCAGCUAUAGUGGUCAUCACAGCAGGUGGCAGCCUCAAGCGGGCAGCAUCCCCAUGCAAAGCAAGAGUUACCAUACUCAAAGACACAGCAGCAAGUGUUGCUCUCAGGGCAAGAGUAAUAAUUGUCACACACAGCAGGAGGCUUUGUUGGAGAUGGAGGGGACGGUCCAGGGUUGGGAGGAUUUUGGCCUUUCUUUAUGGGAUAUGAGGCCUCCAUGGCAAUUCCACACUUGCCCGUGAGAGUGCCAGCCACGUUACGCUCCAUCCUAAUAUAGCCAGCCUCUCCCCAGCUACUGCCCCAUGAAUUCUUCACAAUCCAGUAAUCAGCUCCAUUUUCUGUGCCAUAUCCAACAGCAGUAACACCAUGGUCCAGAGAUGUCCCACAUCUUCCCGUAAAUAUACCCUGAAAAUUUGCAAAGACAGAAAAAUAUACUUGAGACUUCCUUAAAACAGAUCAGACACACACAAGACUCUUCCUGAUCCUGUUUAGAAACCAUUAGAAAUACAAUAAUUUUUGUUCAAAUACCAUCCAGUAUUGUCUCAACCAUAUCUUUUCAGAACUGCAAAAUGCAAAUACUUUGUAUCUAGAUAAUAGCAACAUCCCUAAAUCUAAAAUGUGACAAGUGCCAUGAAGAGAUGAAAGUUACCGAUUCAUAUAACUGGAAUGCCAUGCCACCUCCUUCAAUGGCAACACUCACGGGUUGAUUUGCAACUGCCUUUUGCAAAGCUUUCUCGUCAUUUAGGGGAACAUCUUCAUAGUCAUCAAUUGUAACUACUUUGGCAUUUUUCUGACAAAGCCAAAAACCAAAGGCUUAGAAUGAUCCUCCAUUAUAUAGUAUGGCAUUUCUUCGUAAAACAAUAGAGUAAAAAUACCUACCCGAUAUGUGUCACAGCUACCAUCAAUGGCUUUGUAGGGGUAAUCUUCUUCUGUGUCAAUACCUCCAUUAUCAAUAAUGAACUCGAAUGCAUAGUCCAUCAAACCACCAUUACAUCCUUCAUUAUAUGAUGUAUCACAAUCCACCAACUCCUGCUCGGAUAGUGAGAUCAG
rnacentral:lncRNA from 1 species